rnacentral:lncRNA from 1 species
GAGCUCUUCUUCAUUUCUGCUAGCAGCAGAGGGGAAAAGCAGAGCUAUUUGUGUGGAGCAGACAGAGAAAACUGAGAAGAAAGAAGUAGAAACAAGAGAGUCAAGAGGGAGAAAUGGGAAGCGAAUUUCUAAUGAGUUUACACCCACUCAGAAGUGGGCCAGGGAAAGUGAGCCACACCCCCAAAUAAUUCAAACUGUGCGUGCCAACUUCUUUUUUCCAAUCCCAGGAAAAAUAAGCAACAAAACACAUACUAGAAUCAGAAGCUCCAGACUCACAUACCAGUUAUGCCUCUUACAUGCUAAUGUCCCCAGAACUUAGUUUCCUCACCUGCAGA